UCUAAUAUGGCAGAAUAGUGCAAUGAAUUUAAGAUUCUUUCAUAAAUAAUAAUAUUUUAUUAGAA
rnacentral:tRNA from 1 species